CCUUGCUUAGCCACACCCCCACGGGCACUCAGCAGUAAUUGACAUUAAGCAAUAAGCGAAAGCUUGACUUAGCCAUGGUACCCCCCAGGGUUGGUAAAUCUUGUGCCAGCCACCGCGGUCACACAAGAAACCCAAAUUAACAGCCUCCGGCGUAAAGAGUGGGACCACACUAUCAAGGCAACCAAGACUAAAAAGCAACUAAGCUGUCAUAAGCUCAAGAUGCCCCUAGACCCAACCUCAAAACGAUCUUGGCACCCCUCCAUGACCAACUAAACCCCACGAAAGCUAGGAUACAAACUGGGAUUAGAUACCCCACUAUGCCUAGCCGUAAAUCUCGAUGCUUCCCCCACCAAAGCAUCCGCCUGAGAACUACGAGCACAAACGCUUAAA
rnacentral:ncRNA from 1 species